AUUAACUUUGGACAAAAUGAGCAACAUUUCAGAACAGAUAGGUGGACGGUAAGUACAAAAUCUUGGUAUAUGAGUCAUUUUAUAUCACAGAAAUGGUACAUAUCACAAAACAGUUGUUUUUGCUGAAAAUUCAACCAUGUAGUUAUGACUACUUUUGGAAAAUCUAGGAAAUUAAAUAUUUAGCAAAUGAAAGGUACUUCACCUGAUUUGAUUCUGAUUUGAACUAUUUUUUUUUGGUAUUUGAUUGAAACAAACCAAAAUAUAUGAUCAUUCAUAAUGAAUAAGUCUGUGCAAAAACAUCUUUACCUUUUGUUACACUUGAAUUAAAAAUAAAGACUCAAAACAGUAACCAAUACAGUAAUUUACAGUAUUACUCGGCAAGCAUAAACAACUAAGCUGCUUCACGUUGUGCCUAACAAAAUGUUCUUCCUCAUCUUGACUUGUUUGGGACACGUCCCCCUCUGAAGUUAUUUCAUGUUUCUUCAUCGCUCAUGUGCAGGCUGUACAGUGUGACUGUUUUGCUAGCAUUUGUGAUUAAAAAUUAUAAUAUGUGACAACAAAUUUUACCCCAUUCGCACAUGUGCGAUAAUUGUCAUUUCCACCUACAAAGAGCAUUGCAACAAAGAACAUGUCCCAUGAGUCCGAUGUCUUGCCUUCCUAUUACCAAAUCUUGAACACUCAAAAUUUAGCGGGUUGCCAUGGAUGUGUUGUCAGGGUCCUGGUACACCAUAGUGGGAUACUUUCCUUUAAUAGACUAUUGAGAUUAGUGGUCGAUGGAUAUUGUGCAGUGGUCUCUUCUUAACCCUCGUGCGACCCCACGUACACGUGUGGAUGUUGUAUUUUGGCUUUGCUAUACGCAACACAUAAUUUAAAUUAAUUUAAACUGACUGACCUCAGUUCAGGAGACUCUGUGGUGUCAGUAAAGGGUUAAACUUAUGAUGCACGGAGACAUGUGACAAAACAACAUGGUGCUGACCAUAGCGGAGUUUGUCUUUAGGUGAAACACCACCAAAACUAUAUCUGGUAAGAAACCUAAUUAAGUUUUUACAUUGAAAUUUGUUUGAUUCAAAAGAUUAGAGUCUCUAAAUUCUUCCGAUAUGCCAUGAUUAAAAUUUGAACGAUUUAUCACGAAACGCCAUGCUGCUAAACUCACAUUGAGAAUCAAUGGGUUCAUCCAAAAGCUGAAAAAUUUUGCUUUCAGAGGCUGUAUAUGGAGUUAGGAUGAAAAUAAGGUGCAUUUCGAACUGUUCUGAGACCAGUGCUGACAGACAGCACACUAGAGGUUAAGUCAUUCACUAAAUAGGGAGCAAGGGAGCAUCCUAUAGCUCUCUAUGCAGCUAAGUGCAUUCAAUCCAAACAUGCUAUCAAAAGCUCAGUUUUCAGGCUGCAGAUGAUGUUUGGAUCACUCGACAUGUUUGGCAGACAUGGGACAAUGAUAAUCAGUACAUAGAUUCAGAAUUUAUAAUGUAUAGUUUUAUUUUAUCAUGGUUGGCAGUGAUUGGAUGAUGCUGGACAUUACUUUGUAUCAGAAUUAAUUAUGCAAAUUUCUGAUGUCUGUAACAUCUCAAAAACAUGAAUAACAAACCCUCCUGGAAACAUAAUAAUCAAUUUGAUGAAAAAAAUAAAUAAAUCUGACUUUCUAUUACUUGGUAUUGUUUAAAAUUUAACAACUUCAUCCAGCUGUCCACAUAUGUUGCCAUCAAUUUUUAGGAAAACUAUUUGUUCUAGCAUUUAUUUAUUUAUUUAUUUUUAUGUUUAUUAGGUGCUACUAGUUACAAAUCAAAAAAGGGAAAUGGAAAAUGCAUACAGCAGUCACGCUCGGUCUCAGGAGGUUCAAGCAUUACAAUUAAUAUGUUAAUAAAAUUAUUACAAUUAUUAUUGUGUGGUGGGUUUAAUGCCCAGUCAUGAAAAUUAUGAUUAAGGGUGUUGCAGCACCAUGAUUUAUCUUGUGAAAAUAAAUGUUUAUAUAAAAUCAUUAAAAAUAUGAUACAGUAUUGCAUCUAAACUGUAUUAGUUAACAUUAAAAUAGUAACAUUUAUUUAAAAAAUAACUAUAAUUAUUUUUUUUUUUGACUGCACUCCUCUGUGUGUCAAUACAUUUUAAUUUGUGCAAAUAUUUUUUUUUUUUGUUCACUAACACCAGUGCUAAUACCUAAAAAAGUUAGCAUACAAUCGUAACAUUACGGUACACUUCAAUUAAAAACAAAGAAUCAAAACUCUGAUUGGAUGAGCCACAUUAAAAAAGCCAAUACACACACUCGUGACCACACAUUGGUAAAAUUUUAUAUUAAUAUGGCAAUUUGCAGUGUUGCUUGACAACCGUAAGCAACUAAACUGUUUAGCGUUGUGCUUAACAACAACCCUUAAGUUCUUCCUCUUCUUGACAAGUUUGGGACACGUCCCCUUCUGUAUUUUCACAUUACUCCUUGUUUCAUCAUCACUCUCACAUGUAAAAACGUAAAGCAGUCCUGUCCAUUGAUGGCCAUGUACAUAUAUGUACAGUUUAACCGAUGCACAGCACAGUAUAUUCCAUUUUUUUGUUUUACUCAGCUCUACUUCAAGGUUACCAAAGGCCCCAUUUGGUUUACUGCAAGUUGUAGGAGUUGUCUGGACUUCAGGUUUUGGUAUUCAGUCCAGAUCCCUUUUCCAAAUUGCCACGCCGUGCCAACCAAAAGGUAAUUCUUACCAAACGUCCAGGUGCAGUGUGGAAGGCCAACAGCAUGGCAGCCUAACAGAGAAAGCCACAGGAUAAUGAGUCGGCCUGUCUUUGUUUACGAUCAGCCAACAACGCCAAAAGCAAAAUGUUAAUUAGACCAGCAGUACCCCUAAAGAUAAAUGUGUACAACAGCAUUCAAAACUCCAGCUGUGAUUAGCUCAAAACCGCCCAGUCUUAGGAGGACACUAGUAUUCCAAAUCCACAAAGCCAUUAUUUCUGUAUCGUUGCUUGGAAUGAAUGUACUUAAAACACUUAAUAAUCAAGCAUAUUAGCGAAAACAUCUUGACAUUCAAAGGUUGUCGUUCAGGUCAUGGAAAAAGGCCAUCAUAUUUUCCCAUGCAAGGAAACCAUGAAGCACUCUUAACUAGCUGCUGGUGGCACCAAUCCCAAAACGUCCAAUUUAAAGGGUCAUUUGUGGUCUGCUUUAAAACAACAAACUUUCCUCAAAGCCACGGCCUCUUGGCAGGGUGACCGAUGUUUGGGAAUCUGAAAUACUUUCUCCAGACUUCUAAUCACAUAUUCCAGCCCCCGACCAGUGCACACUCAGUCGUGUAGGGGUGAAUUGUCUUUAAUGUAGUUCUUAUAUUUAUUUUUAUUUUUUCCUCACUGUAAUUGUGGUGCUGAAUCACAGGAGCACUGUGAGGGUUCUUCAAAGACAUCCAUAGAGAAAUGAGUCACUGAUUAAUAAAUAUCAAAUCAAACUCGAAGUCAAACAGUUGAGAUGUCUGUUUUACACGAAUUCACCACAAAAACCUAAAUAGAGAGAUGGGUAAAAACAAAUAAUAGUAAUAUAUAAGUAAACAUUGUUCACCAGAUUUUUAGUGCUUGAUGCACAUGCAACCACUUCAGAGGAAUGGGAUUUAGCAGAAUAACAGGCCUGUUUGAUUAAACUCUGUUUUGAAGAGAAACAGAACGCAACAAUAGGGUUCUGAAAGUAAAACCUGGAUACAUUUUCUCCAUAGAGAAAUAGAUUUUUAGCAAUAACAUAAACUUUUCAAUACAAUGAACUCCGAGCUUAAGUGAUGGUAUAUGCUUCUGUAGAUACCACAAUUCAGUGUGAUUUCAACUAGUUAAGCUCAAUCUACAGCAUUUGUUGCAUAAUGUUGAAUACUCCAUAAAUGAUUUAGACUUUUCCUUCGUUUAUUUAAAAAUCGUGGUUAAAGGGGUCAUGAAGUGGAGAAUCGAAUUUUCCUUGAUAUUAAAACAUAUAAGAGGUAACUAUAAAAGAACAUUUAUAGUUACCACCCUACUAAAACAUCUCGUUUUGAAAUCUGUGUGUUAAUAACGUCAUUUGCAUGGACAUGGCCCACAACAUGCAACAUAGUUGUGGGUGUACUGUUAAGGAGAGAACAGGUUACUGCUGUGAGGUGAGAAGUUUCUUUUAUUGAAAGAUGCAGCAGUGCCAACUGUAUUGCACACUGCACUAAUGCUGGUAAGUAAACCAUUUAUUUCUAAUCUUUCAUUUAUCUGUGUGUUUGUAAUAAGCAGUAAGCCAUCGUUUAUCACUAAGAGGUCUGCAACCCAACCCGGGCCCGACGGGACCCGAGAACCCAUCAGGUUUCGGGCUGGGUUGGGGUCAGUUUUUCAAGUAGGACUUUGGGUUCGGGUUUUUCAUUGAUGAAAAAAUUAACAGGCCCUACUGAACUUGUUCCGCGCUCUCACUCACAGCAUGUGCGAACGGAUGAGUUAGGGGCCGUUCACAUCGAAUGUGUUUUUGUGUGCAUCUGCUCUGCUCAUCAUCGUAUCAUUGUUUUCCUAUUUAAACACACGCUGGACGAAUCUCUUUGACUGUUGCAUCGCGUCUCACUGUUUCUUUAGCAUCUCGUGCAGGAUCGGCACAUUUUUAGAUACCGUGCCAAGUUAAAAAGAACUACAAGUCUCAAAAAUGCUUGUCGAGGCACCUACGCUCUGUUUCAUUCAUUGCGCUGCGUCUAGAUUGUUUUUAGCGCAGGUGUCGCAAAGAUUCAACAUCCUGAAAAAGUUCAGGCUGCAAAGAGGUGACUGUUACAUUGUUUAACAUUAUUCCAGAUUGUUCUGCACCAACAAAAUUUCAGUGCUUGAUAAACGGUAAGCCAAUUUUUUCCCUCUUCUGCUCUAGUGUACUGAGGGACUGCCGUGCCUUAUGAAAACUAUGUUUGCAGUUACAAUACUGUUAUGAAUGUUGUCUACAAUGCUAACAUAAAAUACAGCCUAUUGCAACAGUACUUGCUAGGAGAAGGAAUAAUAAAGACAGUGAUGGAUUACGGGUUUGGGCUUAAAAUCACAGCUGCUUACCAAAUCAAUACAUAAAUGGAUAAAUAAUAUUUGUUUGAGUUGAAUAGUUGUAUUAUGUGUGAAGAAAGUGAAAUUAAAUAUAUUAUGGUGUUGUAGCUAAUAUACUAAUAUACACGGCGGGGGGCGUGGAAACGAUUUUUCGAUGCAGUGACAUUAGCUAAUCAGAACAGUGGGUUGUCAUGGUCCUGUCACUCUGUCAGUCUGGGUUUUGGUCUGACAGGACCGUGGCAUCAUCGUCCCACGUCUGUCUUGUGUUUCGUUGUUGGUCUUUGUGUGAGCGUGUGGCUUCAGUUGUAUUCCCUGCCGUGCGCUCUUCGGUCCGUCUUGUUUCAUGUCAGGAGCACAGUGUCUGGAUCCUGACUUCCUGUCUGGUUCGGUUUCGGUCUGUGUCAGGAUCCGGACACUCGUGCUCCAUGUCUGUAUGUUAUUGACGUGGGUGCAUCGUGCUUAUGUCAUCUUGGCAGCAGGCACUCGUGUCAGUAGUUUGUCUGGCUCUUGCGAUUGCAUUGCGCGCCCGAGUCGCAAGCUGUCUUCGAUCUAAGGUGUCAGGUGUCUGUGUGUGUGUGUGUGUGUGUGGCCGAACUCUUGCACAGGUGUCUUGUCUUGUUUUUAUCACCUGUUGCGUGCAUUGCGUGGUGUUUGCGUCACGAUGUAUGCUCAGGUUUCGUUUAGUGUGAGAAUGCGUGGCAUCGCUUUGUUUGCCGUUGCUACGCAAUCUAUUGUCUUGUUUGUUGGUUGGCAUGGGCGUAUAUCACCUUAUUCUCUUGGCGAUGAGCGCUCAUGCCAUUCAGGUGUUUUGUUGUCUUGUGAGAGCACAUCGCUUUGUUUUGUUUCUGUAUCACUGCGUGUCUCUCUGUCUUAUGUCAUACCCCGCCUCCUUGUUUGCUUAUUAUUAGUUCAUUUGCCUCACCUGUCCCCUGUUAACCCGUUUAUUUCCCCGUUUAUUAACCCGUUAAUUUCUCUCCCUAUUUUAGUCUCCUCGUGUUUGUUGUCCAGUUCGUCUUGUUUCCAGUUUUGUGUGUUCAGUCUUCCCUGUCGGUCCUGUUUCCAUCAUCUGGUUUCUGUUUCGGUCCAGUCAGUCCUGUUCCCCCAUCCCCCCCCCCCCCCCUUUUUUUCAACUUUGCGUUUGGGUUCUGCAAUCUCGUGACAAUAUAGUGUCAAAUGUCCGAUUAAUCCCGAUUAUCUACAAAAAAAUAAAUAAUGCGAUUAAUAGUGAUUACAAAUUUUAAUCAACUGACAGCACUAAUUUUAAUGUUUAUUGAUUGGCCCCAUUCACUUCCAUUGUAAGUGCCUUACUGUAACCAUGAUUUUUGCUUUGAGUCAAGUGAGGAAUAAGUCAAAAUAAUUUUUUUGUAGUAAUCAACAUUAUGCCACAAAUGCUGUAGAUUGGGCUUAACUUGUAAAAGUAAACAGUCUUGCACCCUUUUCAAUUUAUUUAUUUAUUUAUUCAUUUAUUUAUUUUUAUAAUUAAAGCAAAGGGCUCUUUAACAAUUUUUUGAAAAACCUAUGGAGAAACAAUGGAAAUUUUCACAAACCGGGUGACCAAUACUUUCCAGUCCAUUUUGCAGGUGACAAAAAAGACAGUUGACAAACAAAAGUGAGGCUGAACUUUCCCCACUUAUAUAAACGUGUCUGGCCUUUGACCCCUGGAACAUAUCCCCUCAGGACAGGUUUAAACCCUUACAGGUUGACCUUUGGUUUUUGCAUUCAAACCAGAACCACCUUUAACACAUAAGUCCCCCCACACCCCUUCACAAUGUCUCAACGAGUUUCCCAUUGCUGCUCCUGCUUGCAGUUCACUUGACCUAACAAUGUAAGACUUAGUAAGCAUGUUAUUACCAUGUUAAAUGCUGUCGUGAGGAGUGCUAAUUACCUACUGUUUGACAAAGCUAGGGGGGCUGUGUAUUUUUCGGUGUGUUGCUGUGCACACACACACAUUUGGUAAAUUCCAUAAUGGCCAUGUUCUGAUGCAAGACAAUGGUUGUUAAGACACCUAAUGAGAUUAGACACUCAAACAGACUGUCAUCUGCCCAUCUUUCUCAAAACCCGUCUCUCAGGGCAAGCACUUUUUCAUACUUUUGCUUCCGGUAGGCCAUUCCUCCCAUUACCUUGUACACCUCCCCCAAAACACACACACAGCUUGUCCUUUUCCACACCCUUGUUUCCAGUGGCCACUCCUCUGCCAUUAGAAAUAGGGAUUGGAGUUGGAUGUUCCUACAGGCUAUGGGGUGAGCGGAAACCAAGUGCUCUGUCAUUAAAGCAUGGCAGACGCUGCUUAACAUUUUACAUUCUCCCAUCAAUGAGCCAUUAAACCAGAGAGCUACAUAUCUGUAUGGACCCAUGAAGAGAAAUCACUUGAGUACUUGUGGAAUGCUUUAUAUAACUGUACAUGCGUGUAGAAACAAGUUUAAAAAAUAGUAUAGGACAAAAGAUGGUAUCAUAUAUCCUAAAGAAUACAGGAAUAUUUGUGCAUAGUUAAGUCAGGGUCACACUGAUUUUUCCUCAAAUUUUCAAUCGCAAGCUUCAUUUACAUAAUCAUUGGCCAGGCAGAGGGAGUCAUAGCACACAUCUUAUCCAGUCUGAGUCUGAUUUUUUGCAAUUACUGGGAGGGGUUAUCAUCAGUCCAGAUGAAAACGAGACUGCUACGAUUGACACUUUCAAGGAAUUGCUGGAUUUGGCAGAGUUUUUUUUUUUUUUUUUUUUUUUUAAGCAAGGAAAUGAGAUAUCCUUGAACAUACCUGGAUAUUCAACUACAGAGCCGAGGAGGGCCGGGCUGGAAUGACGCACGCCUGGUCCCCAAUCAGCCUGAUGGGGCACACGAGGGAUAAAGGCGGCCGGGGACGACAGUUCGAGAGAGAGAGAAUUACAGGCAGCUGCCCUGUGUGUGUUUAUGGUUGUGUGUUUUUGGUUAAGUUGUUCAUUAAAUUAUUAUUUAAGUUGUCAA